GGAGAGGUGCUCGAGUGGUUGAAGAGGUGCGCUUGGAAAGCGUAUGUACUCCAAAAGGGUACCGGGGGUUCGAAUCCCUUCCUCUCCG
rnacentral:tRNA from 1 species